rnacentral:rRNA from 1 species
GACGAACGCUGGCGGCGUGCUUAACACAUGCAAGUCGAACGGAAAGGCCCUGCUUUUGUGGGGUGCUCGAGUGGCGAACGGGUGAGUAACACGUGAGUAACCUGCCCUUGACUUUGGGAUAACUUCAGGAAACUGGGGCUAAUACCGGGUAGGAGCUCCUGCUGCAUGGUGGGGGUUGGAAAGUUUCGGCGGUUGGGGAUGGACUCGCGGCUUCUCAGCUUGGUGGUGGGGUAGUGGCUUACCAAGGCUUUGACGGGUAGCCGGCCUGAGAGGGUGACCGGCCACAUUGGGACUGAGAUACGGCCCAGACUCCUACGGGAGGCAGCAGUGGGGAAUAUUGCACAAUGGGCGGAAGCCUGAUGCAGCAACGCCGCGUGCGGGAUGACGGCCUUCGGGUUGUAAACCGCUUUCGCCUGUGACGAAGCGUGAGUGACGGUAAUGGGUAAAGAAGCACCGGCUAACUACGUG